rnacentral:snoRNA from 1 species
AUUUGAUGAUGUGGACAUAGUAUUUGUAAAUCCCUAAAUCUUUCCCAAGCUUCAAAGAAUUCCUCCGUAUGCUUUUGUCUAAAAGUUUGGAUCUUGUUUCUUAACU